GAGGCCUUAGGGAAUUGGGAAUUGGCCCCCCCUGCCCCCCGCCGCACCUUGAGACUUCUAAGGUAGGAAGCUUUGAGGUUUGAAGGUCCUCAAGCUGGCUGCCCUUGGAAAAUGGACUGGAAGGGAUGGGAGAGGAAGCAGGUCCGGUAGAAGGCCAGGCUGUGGGAAGGAAGGCAUUCCGCACAAAUGGAGCCUGGCGGACAAAGGAAGAAGCCCGUGAAGGCACCAUCCCCAAGGGCAGCCGCUCACUGGAGACAUGUUCCCUCGAUUGGGAUUCUCGGCCACACUGUCGCUUCAUCCCCUCAGCCAGGCCGUGACCCAAGUGUCACAUCCCACACACCUCCUUGGAGGAGACACUCAAUAAAAACAAGCUGUGUUGAAUGCC